GGAGGCUGUGUGCCUGAGGAUUUCUUUCUAAAGCCAAUAGACAUACAAGUGCAAGUGACUCAUGAGAGGUUUAGACUUCCAGAAAAGGAAUCUUUCUUGAAAGAUAUUGCAUAUGUCCCAGUCACUGCUGACAUCUGAUGGGGAAGAGGAGACUUACUCAGCCCUGGCAAGCCUUGGGACAAAUUAAGCCCUGGAUGGGGAGCCAGAGGAGGCAGUGGGGAGCUUGAGCUUGAAGCUCCACCACCAGAUUGCACAGACCCACCUGGCCACACCUCUGCCUAGGAGCCAAGGGACAUGUCACCAUUUCUUGGAAGCCCCCCGAGGCCCCACCCCUGUUUGGCAGAAGCGGCGGCUGCACACAAGCAUCAUGCUGAUCUGGUUUUGGGGAGGGGAGGGGGCUGUCACCCCUGCCUUUUGUGAAGACAGAAACUACCACCUCCACGGGGACCAUUGCUGUCUUUAGGUAGAUUGUGGACCAUCCCAGAUAAGAGGAUUCAGCCUCCACCACCCAUGCUGAGGACUCUGGGUGUGGUGGGGUCUGUAGUGACAUUACCCCGGAAGAAAGCCAUGAUGGAAUGUUAAAAGCAAACCCCUCCAAGCAGCGUUCUCUUGGGUGGUGUUGGUGUGGGGGUCCUUCCAAAGCAGUGCAUUUGAGUCAGCCCAUUAAAAUAAAUGAAG